rnacentral:rRNA from 1 species
UGGGAAUUUUGGACAAUGGACGCAAGUCUGAUCCAGCCAUGCCGCGUGCGGGAAGAAGGCCUUCGGGUUGUAAACCGCUUUUGUCAGGGAAGAAACGAGUUUCUCUAAUACAGAGACUUAAUGACGGUACCUGAAGAAUAAGCACCGGCUAACUACGUGCCAGCAGCCGCGGUAAUACGUAGGGUGCAAGCGUUAAUCGGAAUUACUGGGCGUGAAGCGUGCGCAGGCGGUUAUGCAAGACAGAGGUGAAAUCCCCGGGCUCAACCUGGGAACUGCCUUUGUGACUGCAUAGCUAGAGUACGGUAGAGGGGGAUGGAAUUCCGCGUGUAGCAGUGAAAUGCGUAGAUAUGCGGAGGAACACCGAUGGCGAAGGCAAUCCCCUGGACCUGUGCUGACGCUCAUGCACGAAAGCGUGGGGAGCAAACA